CCUACGGGUGGCAGCAGUGAGGAAUAUUGGUCAAUGGACGCAAGUCUGAACCAGCCAUGCCGCGUGCAGGAAGACGGCUCUAUGAGUUGUAAACUGCUUUUGUACGAGGGUAAACGCAGAUACGCGUAUCUGUCUGAAAGUAUCGUACGAAUAAGGAUCGGCUAACUCCGUGCCAGCAGCCGCGGUAAUACGGAGGAUUCAAGCGUUAUCCGGAUUUAUUGGGUUUAAAGGGUGCGUAGGCGGUCGGAUAAGUUAGGGGUGAAAUCCCGAGGCUCAACUUCGGAAUUGCCUCUGAUACUGUUAGGCUAGAGAGUAGUAGCGGUAGGCGGAAUGUAUUGUGUAGCGGUGAAAUGCUUAGAGAUAAUACAGAACACCGAUUGCGAAGGCAGCUUACCAAGCUACUUCUGACGUUGAGGCACGAAAGCGUGGGGAGCAAACAGGAUUAGAUACCCUAGUAGUC
rnacentral:rRNA from 1 species